GCUCGUUGUUAGAGACCGUGUGCGUCCGUGUUUAAAAAAUAAAUAAAAACGUCAGGCUGUGGUUCACUGCGCUGGAUUGGUUUUCAUGUGCGCUGAAAGUGUGUGCAAUUGCGCAGUGGCGCAGCUUAGAGGAUUCUCUCAGGCGCUCCCUUCAUGACCAGAAUAUGACCAGCAGGAUUGUCCUCUGCUUUGUGGAUGGAGAGCUUCAAGAGAGGAUAGGGGGAGAGAGAACGGCAAUUUCAGGGACAGCAGAAAUCGAAAUCCUGCACUCAAGUCCAUCAAGGAGAUGGAAAAAAAGGCUUUCCCUCAUGAUACUUCUGACUGUAACAAGUGAUGAUGGCAUACUUGUCAUCAGAUGGAGGGAUAACAAAGCGGUCACCCUGUGGUUGAGCCGACGUCCUCAAUCAUCAGGUACUGCAGUGAGACCAAAAAGGAGGAGCAUGCGACCUGUUCAUCGGUCAUCAGGGGUUCUAAUGCCAACAAUUUGGGGGGGGCAUUAAUGAGAAUGACAUGCUGUGAUAUUAUACCAGCAGAAAAGUCAUACAGAACCACCAUUCUGCACAGCCAAGGAGUUGAACAGGAAAGGGUUAAAAAAAAAAAAAAAAAAAACUCCAAGAAGCCCAAAAUUUGCAUCUGUGUACACAAACAAAUGCAAAUAUAAUUGAUGUCUUUAUCGCAAAGUCUUGGGCAAUUGGCUCUCGGGGUGAAAGGCAGACUGAUGAAAGAUUUCGGAUCCAGGUGUUGAACAGAGUCAUCUUCAUCAAUUGAAAUCCUCACUACCAGUUCGGAUGUACU